AGAGAAAGAGAGAAGAGAGAAAAGGGAGAAAGAAGAAAGGAAGAAAAGAGGAAGGGAGAGUGAAAAAGGGAGAGAGUGUUUGUGUGGGUGAGGAAAAUCUUGAUGCUUGUAGGGUUGGUAUUUCCUCAACCAAACCGGUGGCUACUACAAAACCUCCACCAAACCCACCCAUGCUAAGAAGCGGAGGAAUUGGCGGUUUUACCCAAAUCUCCAAACCCUAAGAUCUCAAAGAAUGAAAAUCUCCUCUUAAGUUGCAGGUAACGAGGAGUAUGAGGAGCCUGGUGGCACGAGCUUAGAUGAGGAGGAUGAGCUGUCCUAUUUCCAGUUGAUGGGCGGCUCUCCAUCGGCUU